rnacentral:rRNA from 1 species
AGUGAACGCUGGCGGUAGGCCUAACACAUGCAAGUCGAACAGCAGCACAGUAAGAGCUUGCUCUUACGGGUGGCGAGUGGCGGACGGGUGAGGAAUACAUCGGAAUCUACUUUUUCGUGGGGGAUAGCGUAGGGAAACUUACGCUAAUACCGCAUACGACCUACGGGUGAAAGCAGGGGAUCUUCGGACCUUGCGCGAUUGAAUGAGCCGAUGUCGGAUUAGCUAGUUGGCGGGGUAAAGGCCCACCAAGGCGACGAUCCGUAGCUGGUCUGAGAGGAUGAUCAGCCACACUGGAACUGAGACACGGUCCAGACUCCUACGGGAGGCAGCAGUGGGGAAUAUUGGACAAUGGGCGCAAGCCUGAUCCAGCCAUGCCGCGUGGGUGAAGAAGGCCUUCGGUUUGUAAAGCCCUUUUGUUGGGAAAGAAGAGCAGUAGGUUAAUACCUCGCUGUUCUGACGGUACCCAAAGAAUAAGCACCGGCUAACUUCGUG